UACAGAGGGGGCAAGCGUUGUUCGGAAUUACUGGGCGUAAAGGGCGCGUAGGCGGCCCGCUAAGUCGAACGUGAAAUCCCCGAGCUCAACUCGGGAACUGCGUCCGAUACUGGCGGGCUUGAAUCCGGGAGAGGGAUGCGGAAUUCCGGGUGUAGCGGUGAAAUGCGUAGAUAUCAGGAGGAACACCGGUGGCGAAAGCGCUCAUCUGGCCCAAUACUGACGCUGAGGCGCGAAAGCUAGGGGAGCAAACGGG
rnacentral:rRNA from 1 species